rnacentral:sRNA from 1 species
UUCUAGCCAGCUUUAUUGCUUCUGAGCUGUGAGCUCUUUUGCAGAAUGUACCAAGGAAAAAUAUUGUGCCGUUUUCUUCAGUUGUUCAGCACUGUCGUACAGGGUGUUGGUUAUGUUGAGCUGUAGUGGAAGUAGGUCUGCCUAACGUGGAUUAGGAAGGGACAUUCAAAGAGGAUCUGGUUUACGGUUUCAUAAAGCCAGCUAGAUUGCCACUGUGACAUGGCUUCAGUCAUACAGUUAGGUUGCCUUUUUGUACUGCUGUUUGGCCAAUCUGUUCUGUCACAUUUUUAUUAUAGCAUACCCCUCAAUUAUGCAUUGCGUAGAAAAAUAUCGAUUGACAGUAGGGCAAGAGCUUCAUAUUAUAGACCAUAUACAUAUAGACAUGGAAAAAAUUUUGACCUUAGAAUGGAAGAAGGGACAGAAGUUAGACUGCGUUGCUCUAGGAAAGAUACAAUUAUUUGGAAGGUCUAUGACAGAGAGUUAUCACGUUGUGAGCAAGAUCAUUGUGAAAACUUGGAAAGAAAAG